GUACAGACGUCUAUUCCUCUCUUCAAAUGAAUUACUUGAAGAAAAUUCUCUUUUUUAUUGAUUAACCGUUCCAGAGAAAAAGUGUGAACCACUUUUAGAGAGGACCACUUUUGGCAGCCAUUUUCUAAGACGCCAUUUUGAAAGAAAAAAAAAUAAUAAUAAUUUUCGAUUAUCUUAAGACAUGUAUUUUGAGAUAAAAAAAUUUUAAGUAGCAAAUAUUUUUUUUACUAUAAAAAAAAAUCUUUGAAAAAAACAUCAAAACCAGUGGAACCUCCCCUUAAUCUUUGUUGCAAGUUCAAUCAUACCUCUGCCAAUUUUUUAUGAACUUUUGUUUCAGCUAAGCUUAAUAUAAUAAAUUUGAUUUUUAUCAACGAAUUAUUAGAUAGAGAAACUUUGUAUCAAUAGUCUGCUUAAAAGAUUAUUGUAUGUGAGAUAUAAAAAACAUAACACAUUCCAACACCACACUUACACACCAUACUGCACACAUAAAACAAUUGUAGUAUGGAUAACGAGUGUUGUAUUAAAUAAAAAAUAUAUAUUGAUUUUA